rnacentral:rRNA from 1 species
CCUACGGGAGGCAGCAGUGGGGAAUUGUUCGCAAUGGGCGCAAGCCUGACGACGCAACGCCGCGUGGAGGAUGAAGACCUUCGGGUCGUAAACUCCUUUCGAUCGAGACGAAUGUUUUCCGGGUGAACAAUCCGGAAAAGUGACGGUACCGAGAGAAGAAGCCCCGGCUAACUCUGUGCCAGCAGCCGCGGUAAUACAGGGGGGGCAAGCGUUGUUCGGAAUUACUGGGCGUAAAGGGCUUGUAGGUGGCCAACUAAGUCAGACGUGAAAUCCCUCAGCUUAACUGGGGAACUGCGUCUGAUACUGGAUGGCUUGAGUUUGGGAGAGGGAUGCGGAAUUCCAGGUGUAGCGGUGAAAUGCGUAGAUAUCUGGAGGAACACCGGUGGCGAAGGCGGCAUCCUGGACCAACACUGACACUGAGGAGCGAAAGCCAGGGGAGCAAACGGGAUUAGAUACCCCGGUAGUCCUGGCCCUAAACGAUGAAUGCUUGGUGUGGCGGGUAUCGAUCCCUGCCGUGCCGAAGCUAACGCAUUAAGCAUUCCGCCUGGGGAUCGGUCGCAAGGCUGAAACUCAAAGAGAGUGCGNGNGAGAGACGAGACGACGACGAGGGAGAGG